CUGUUGUAUGAAAGGAGAGAAGGCUAGCCCUCUGCUUGAGAGGGAUGCAAGAGGCCCUAGUGUAGCCUAGGUGCCAGUCUGUUU
ensembl:snRNA